rnacentral:rRNA from 1 species
AAUCAACGCUGGCGGCGUGCCUAACACAUGCAAGUCGAACGCGAAAGUUCCUUCGGGGACGAGUAGAGUGGCGUCCGGGUGAGUAACGCGUGGGUAAUCUGCCUUUGGGUGGGGGAGUAACUCAGGGAAACGUUAGGGCGUAAUAACCGCAUAAUGCAGCGGCUCGACAUCGAGACAGUUGUUUAAAGACAGCAAUGCGCCUGAAGAGGAGCC